rnacentral:rRNA from 1 species
GGAGGAAAGUAGGGGAUCGAAAGACCUUAUGCUUUUGGAGCGGCCGAUGUCUGAUUAGCUAGUUGGUAGGGUAAUGGCUUACCAAGGCGACGAUCAGUAGUUGGUCUGAGAGGACGACCAGCCACACUGGGACUGAGACACGGCCCAGACUCCUACGGGAGGCAGCAGUGGGGAAUUUUGGACAAUGGGCGCAAGCCUGAUCCAGCAAUGCCGCGUGAGUGAAGAAGGCCUUCGGGUUGUAAAGCUCUUUCAGUUGAAAAGAAAAAGCCGUGACUAAUAAUCAUGGUUCAUGACGGUAUCAACAGAAGAAGCACCGGCUAACUACGUGCCAGCAGCCGCGGUAAUACGUAGGGUGCAAGCGUUAAUCGGAAUUACUGGGCGUAAAGGGUGCGCAGGCGGUUCUGUAAGUCAGAUGUGAAAUCCCCGGGCUUAACCUGGGAACUGCGUUUGAAACUACAAAGCUAGAAGGGCGAAU